rnacentral:rRNA from 2 species
ACUCUCGGCAACGGAUAUCUCGGCUCUUGCAUCGAUGAAGAACGUAGCGAAAUGCGAUACUUGGUGUGAAUUGCAGAAUCCCGUGAACCAUCGAGUCUUUGAACGCAAGUUGCGCCUGAAGCCAUUAGGUUGAAGGCACGUCUGCCUGGGCGUCACGCAUUGC